CAGGUAAAUUUGACUUUUGGAAAAACAAUGAGUAACUUUUAGCAUAAGUACAUGCCAUGGAACAUUUGGGACAUAUUUAUACUAAAAAAGUAUUCAUUGUUUACUUGAAAUUCAAAUGUAACU
rnacentral:miRNA from 14 species